AUGGCUUCCUCUGCAGCCACCGUAACCUCUGGUCUCUCUGGCCAAGUCACGGAAAAGCUCUCCCGCACCAACUUCAUCCUCUGGCGCACCCAAAUCACACCGCAGAUCAGAGGAGCGGGAUUCUUCGGGUAUGUUGAUGGAACAAACCCGGAGCCGGCAAAGCAAGUUGUCGUCAAGGACAAAGAGGGGAAGGAGGAAACCAUCCCAAACCCCCUCCACGCCGUCUGGAUCCGAGAAGAUCAGCAGGUACUCGGCUAUCUGUUGAACAAUCUCACCAAAGAAGUUCUAGUGCAGGUUACCUCCAUCGUCCAUGCACAUGAACUCUAG
rnacentral:rRNA from 1 species